rnacentral:ncRNA from 1 species
UGCAAGUCUCCGCAUACCCGUGAGAACGCCCUUAUUCCUUCCCCAGGGUAAGGAGCUGGUAUCAGGCACAGACAUCUUGCCCAAAACACCUAGCUAUGCCACUCCCACAAGGGUAUUCAGCAGUGAUUAACAUUGUUUAUAAGCGCCAGCUUGAAUCAGUUAAAGUACAUAGAGUUGGCUAACUCGGUGCCAGCCGCCGCGGCUAUACCGCUGAACUCAAGUUGAAUAUAUCUCGGCGUUAAGAGUGAUUAAUGUGACUUAAAGAUUAGAACUAAACCAAAACAAAGUUGUUAUAUACUUGCUCUAAGAAACACAAAAUGAAAAUUAUUCUAACUAAACCACUUGACUCCACGAUAGCUAAGAAACAAACUGGGAUUAGAUACCCCACUAUGCUUAGCCGUAAAAUAUUAACCCACACCAAAACCGCCAGGGAAUUACGAGCCCAAGCUUAAAACCCAAAGGACUUGACGGUGUCCCAUCCCCCUAGAGGAGCCUGUUCUAUAAUCGAUUCUCCCCGAUCUACCUUACCCCCUCUCGUAUAUUCAGUCUGUAUACCUCCGUCGCAAGCUUACCUUGUGAACGCAUCUAGUGAGCCCAAAGAUACUACACCCACACGUCAGGUCAAGGUGCAGCCAACGAGGCGGAAAGAAAUGGGCUACAAUCUCUACUCUAGAACAAACGAAAGACUACAUGCAACACAGUCACUGAAGGCGGAUUUAGCAGUAAAAAGAAAACAGAGAGUUCUUUUUAAUCGGGCCCUGGGACGCGUACACACCGCCCGUCACCCUCUUCAAGACACCUUAACGGUUCCUAACACAAUGUAAACUAAUAGAA